AUGGACGACGCGAGAGUCGUGCGGAAAUUUCUCCCUGUCGUGCCACCUCGCUUCGCUCAGGUAGCGGUCUCCAUCGAGACUUUACUUGACCUGAGCGAGCUCUCCAUCAAGGAGCUCAUGGACCGGUUGCGGGUGGUUGAGGACCGCCUUGACGAUGGUCGUGAGAGCUUCCACGGUGGACAACUCCUAUUCUCAAAGAAUUGGGAGGCGAGGAAGCGUCAAGGAUGUGGUGGCGGUGCCCCGAGUAGUGGAGGCGGCACCGGCAGAGGCGCCGGUCGCACCCAGGGCGGAGCCGGACGAGGUGCCGGCAACAACGACCGGGACAAGUGUCGAUAUUGCAGAAUCAAGGGCCACUGGGCCCGUGAGUGCCGCAAGAGGAUGGCUUACGAGGAUGCCGCAGCCGCGGCAAAUCUCAUGCAGGCUGAAGAGGAUGGUGGGCCAGCAAUGAUGAUGGCUUGCAUCGAGACCAUGCAGGAGGGCGCAGCGCCUCUAGACUCUAGAGAGCAUGGUCCCGACAAGCAUCGAAGCCGUGCAGGAGGGCGCAGCACCUCCGUCGACCACGGUGCCGGCAAUUGUCAGGUCCGUGCAGGAGGCACGGAGCUCUUCAAAUAA
rnacentral:rRNA from 1 species